GCUGCGCUAAAGCAGCAAAGCAAUACUGGAGGCAAUUUUAAACUCCAGUAUUUACGUGCUGCUAGAGCACAGC